AACGCACAUUGCGCCCAUCAGUAUUCUGUUGGGCAUGCCUGUUCGAGCGUCAUUUCCACCCUCAAGCCCUAGCUGCUUGGUGUUGGGGUGCUCUACAGCCUGCUGUAGGCCCCGAAAAUCAGUGGCGGUCUCACUGGGACUCCGAGCGUAGUAGAUCUCUCUCGCUUAGGGGCGACCGGUGGGUUUCUAGCCGUUAAAACCCCCAAAUUUUAAAAGGUUGACCUCGGAUCAGGUAGGAAUACCCGCUGAACUUAA
rnacentral:misc_RNA from 1 species